UACAUAAUAAAUAAAUAAAUAUUAAAAAAAAAAGAAGUUGGGCAUGGUGGCACACACCUGUAAUGCUAGCAUAACGGAAGAGAGAGCAGGAGGAACCAGAAGUUCACGGUCACUUAUAGAAUGUUUGAGGCCAGCCUGGGUGGGAUACAUGAGACUCUGCUGAAAGAAAGAAAGAAAGAAAGAAAGAAAGAAAGAAAGAAAGAAAGAAAGAAAGAAAGAAAGGAAGGAAGGAAGAAGCCUAGUGUGCUGACACACAUCUUUAAUCCCAACACUCAGGAGGCAGAGGCAAGUGGACCUUUGUGAGUUCAAGGCCAGUCUGUUCCAGACCAAUAAAGGUUACAUGAUAAGACCUCGUCUCAAUGCCAGCCCUCACAAAAGAAGGGAAACUAACACUCUCAGGCCUCUGCCUGUGGAGGACUCAGAUCACCAGGGAACAUCGAUCCAGGUCUGGAGCUCUGGCCCGAGGCUGCGCAUGAGAGCUGUGUAUUGGACUUUGGCACAGAACUGCAGGACAGCAUGCCAUGUGCAUGCCAGGCGCAUGUGGGGUGAAUUUUGGUUGUUGGUUCUGGAAACAGAGCCUAAAGGCUCCUGGGUUCACCAGGAAAACCUUUCUGCUUUUAACCCCAGGGCCUGCACAGUUAGUCACACUUCACUCUGAAACUUAGGUGUGAAUAUGUUGACUUACAUCAUUAUCCACA